rnacentral:lncRNA from 1 species
AGACUGGUUUUUGGUCAAAGUUAGGGGUGUAGUAGAUUGGUCUUGAGAUGAUUGGAAUGUCAAUUUGGUCAAAGUUAUGGUUGUAGUAGAUUGGUCUUGAGAUGAUUGGAAUGUCAAUCCAUCCUCUUGUUUCUUGUAAUUUUCUGUUUCGUGGAUUUCAUUAUGUGUUCCAGAUGUUUCUCUUGUUCGGAUUGAGCACUCCUGAUACUCAAUUUUAAUUCAUAUAUAUUUUUUACUUAUAAAAUAAGAGAGGAUACAUUUCAAA